CAUGGCCCUUUUGGAAGCUGCAGCUGCGUCCAUAUAGCUACUGCGGUCAAAAGGAGUACAGAGGGAGUUUUCCUUGGUCGCUGUUCUGUCCAUAACUGAUCUGCAACAUUUCAGGAAAACAGUU
ensembl:snoRNA small nucleolar RNA SNORA16B/SNORA16A family